rnacentral:rRNA from 1 species
GAGUUUGAUCCUGGCUCAGGAUGAACGCUAGCGGCAGGCCUAAUACAUGCAAGUCGAGGGGCAGCACGAGUACUUGUACUUGGUGGCGACCGGCGCACGGGUGGGUAACGCGUAUGCAACCUACCCUUAACUGGAGGACAGCCCGAAGAAAUUCGGAUUAAUACUCCAUAGUAUCACCAGAUGGCAUCUGAAGGUGAUUAAAGAUAUAUUGGUUAAGGAUGGGCAUGCGUGACAUUAGAUAGUUGGUGAGGUAACGGCUCACCAAGUCCACGAUGUCUAGGGGUUCUGAGAGGAUUAUCCCCCACACUGGUACUGAGACACGGACCAGACUCCUACGGGAGGCAGCAGUAAGGAAUAUUGGUCAAUGGACGAAAGUCUGAACCAGCCAUGCCGCGUGCAGGAUGACAGCCCUAUGGGUCGUAAACUGCUUUUAUCUGGGAAGAACUCCACUACGUGUAGUGGACUGACGGUAGCAUAAGAAUAAGCACCGGCUAACUCCGUGCCAGCAGCCGCGGUAAUACGGAGGGUGCAAGCGUUAUCCGGAUUUAUUGGGUUUAAAGGGUGCGCAGGCGGAAUAAUAAGUCAGUGGUGAAAUCUCUCGGCUCAACCGAGGAACUGCCAUUGAUACUGUUAAUCUAGAGUUUAGUUGAAGUAGGCGGAAUGUAGCAUGUAGCGGUGAAAUGCAUAGAUAUGCUACAGAACACCGAUUGCGAAGGCAGCUUACUAAGCUAAAACUGACGCUCAGGCACGAAAGCGUGGGGAUCAAACAGGAUUAGAUACCCUGGUAGUCCACGCUGUAAACGAUGAUCACUCGUUGUUGGCGAUACACAGUCAGCGACUGAACGAAAGUAUUAAGUGCUCCACGUGGGAAGUACGCUCGCAAGGUUGAAACUCAAAGGAAUUGACGGGGGCCCGCACAAGCGGUGGAGCAUGUGGUUUAAUUCGAUGAUACGCGAGGAACCUUACCUGGGCUUAAAUGUUUAAUGACCGUCCCCGAAAGGGGAUUUUCCUUCGGGACAUUUUACAAGGUGCUGCAUGGUUGUCGUCAGCUCGUGCCGUGAGGUGUCGGGUUAAGUCCCAUAACGAGCGCAACCCCUAUUCUUAGUUGCCAUCAGAUAAUGCUGGAGACUCUAAGGAAACUGCCUACGCAAGUAGGGAGGAAGGUAGGGAUGACGUCAAAUCAGCACGGCCCUUAUGUCCAGGGCUACACACGUGCUACAAUGGUCGGUACAGAGGGUCGCUACCUAGUGAUAGGAUGCUAAUCUCGAAAACCGAUCUCAGUUCGGAUCGAAGUCUGCAACUCGACUUCGUGAAGCUGGAUUCGCUAGUAAUCGCAUAUCAGCAAUGGUGCGGUGAAUACGUUCCCGGGCCUUGUACACACCGCCCGUCAAGCCAUGGAAGCUGGGGGUACCUGAAGUCUGUGACCGCAAGGAGCGGCCUAGGGUAAAACUAGUAACUGGGGCUAAGUCGGAACAAGGUAGCCGUA